AGAGAAUCAAAUUUCUUUAGCAAUUUAAUGGCUUGAUUUUCAUUUAUUUUACGAGUUCCAAAACGUUGGUUAUCCGUAGAACAAACUCAAGAAAUAAUAACACUAGUUUUAGCGUGAUGCCAAUAAAAAUUUUGUUUACAACUCACAGAGGACAUAUAUAUCCACACAGCAUGUUCUCUUAUAACUCUAUAUAAAUAAUAUUAAGUGAAACUAUAAUGAUCAAAGAUGACACGUUCUUUCUCCGCUAUUUGUAUUAUUAUACUAUCACUGUUAUUAAUAGAGUCAUCAGCUCAAGAAACAAAGAGAGUUAUUGAUCUCAGCAUUUUUGAUAUCAUUUCUCAAACGUUAUUACGAACAGAGCUAAAAAUAGCAGAACUUCUUGAGAUUGUUAAGAAAGUUGCAAUUAUUCAUCAUGAACGAGAAUUCAAUUCUAAAAAUGUGUCAUCAUCUUCACAUUCAUUGCCCACUAAUCUAGCAGAAAUGAAAUUAAUUAAAUAUGAUUUAUCAAAAAUUCGAAAACCAAAGCGACCAGUUGAUGACGCUCCUGCUAAAGAAGACGUGACAGCACGUAAAUCCUACAGAUCAAAAUAUGCUAGCGAUGAAGAUGAUGAUGAGGAUGACAUCGAUGAAGAUGGUGAUAGUAAUUCUAAUGUCAACACCAACAUCAAUACUAAUACCAACAUUCGAAAACGUCCAUCGUAUGCCAACUUUUUCAAAAAAUGAUAUAUAAACUUGGCAGCUAAUUGAAUUAAUCAAACUGGAAUAAAUAGAAAUGAAAAUGAAUGCUUUUUUGGCAUUGUUCUUUUUGAAUCCUCACCACAAAUUUUCCACUGUCAGAAAAAUGGAAUGACAGCUUUAAUAUCAGUAACUAUUAUUUUUAUGCUCUGCGCUCAAUAUCAUGAUAUAUGGUUUUAAUUGAAAUUAGAGAAACGUAUAUAAUCAAACGAACAAGACUGGAAAUAAGUGAAACUUUUCUACGAAAAUAUUCUUCCAAAAACAUGGUUCGUUCAUUAUUUCCUAUAUUUUUAGUCGCUUUUACCAUUACUAUUCAGACUUGUCUUUCAACCCAUGGUGAUCCUUCACAACAUCAUGGCCAACGAAACAUCAAUUCCAAUACCAAUAUUAAUGCAAACAUUAACGCCCAUCAUCGUAAAUAUCGACGGACUGAUGGUCCAGUCCAUAGUGAAGUUAAUAAAGACACUGCAGAGAAAAUAGUAGAAGCUGCAGCAGUGGCGUCGGCAGCAGCCGAUGCAGCGAAGAUCGUCACAAGAUCGUUGGCAAAAAAGUUGAGUGAAAAUACUGCUGAUGCAGUAGCAGAUGCAGUUGUGAGAGUUUUAACUGGCAACACUACCACUCCAGUUCAUAAGGUAAUGAAAGUAGCAGCAAGGGCUGCCAGGAGAAGUAUCAAUGCCAACAGCAACACCAAUGUUAAUGUCAUAGGACGUCGGGAAACAUCCGCAGAAUUAUUAGACGAUGAUGAUGACGUAUAUGCACGCAAUGAUAUGAAUGCAACAGCUCGAGAGUUAGAUUAUGCAGAAGAAGGGCAUGAGAGAAUUGAAGAUGAUGAGUUGGGCGCUGAGGACGAUGAUGCUUUGGAAGAUGAUACUGCGGAUCCAGAUGAGAAAAAAGUGCCAAGGAGUGUAAUGAUACGAUUAAAAAUGCUAUUAUUGCGCUGGCUGAGAAAAUUAGUAGAACAGAAAUAUAAAAAACCGGAGUAACAUAAGCUGCAUGGAUUUUUAAAUAUCAUUGAUUAUAUGAAAACAACAUAAAUAUAAACAUGAACAGCAACACGAACAUAAAUCGCAUAUCUCGACGUUUUUAUAGUGAACCUUGGUCAUCAGGAAUAAGAAUUGCACGUCGUAGUUCGUCAAAAAUAAGAAAAGGAGUACCAAAAGGGG
rnacentral:misc_RNA from 1 species